UAGUGAGGCCAACAACUUACACUUUGUUUGAAUUGAGUUAUUUGGCGAGGAAAAAAAAAAUUCAAUUUCUCUCUAUCACAAAAACCAAUUGUGUGCCUUUCAUGGGGUACAAAAACCAGCUCAUUGUUUUUUUUAACUCUUCAACCACUUGCCUGGUAUGUGUUAUUUGAAAAAAUCAACCCAUAAUUUAGCCUCACCAUAAGUUAACCCAACAAAAUAGCAAUUGCACAUACUGUGUUUAUUAUAAUAGGAAUUUCAUCGAACACUUAUGCUGCAUCAUUGAUAAGCACCAAUUUUUUGCAUACAAAUCAGUUAGAUCACUCCCCACAAAAAGAAAAAGCUAGAUGACCAAUCCGAUUUGACAACAUGAGAAUGCAACAGCUUACCAAAUUCAACUACAGGAACCCCCAUUGAUGCGUAUGAAAAGCGAAGGUUUAGACGAAUGCAUUAAAGGGUAGUGGGUUUGUUGGAUUGAUGCAAUUGAAGAAGUUGUCAGUAAGAGUUUGAAGAUGGUGUAAUGAUGGGGCUUCUUGGCUACGUGGCCUUCAGCUUAGCCACACACGACAGUAGAAACCAACAAUUUCCAAAGCUCUUCGUAGAAAUUUCCCAAAACGGUGGUCUGCUCUUUGCCUAUUUCCCAAAGCCCCUCCCCGGCAAAUUUGGCUGCAGAAUUUCGGUUAGUCACGUGGAAUUCAGAUUAGCCGGGCCGACAAUGAAGAAGAAAACAAAGGGUACCUCUUCGAACAGCAUAUAUAUAUAUAUAUACAUAUAUGGUGGAUGGAGUUGCUGUUAUCCUAUUCUUCCUAUCUCUAUCGAGGGUACCUCUGCCGGGACGCUGUCAAAAUUGGGUAUCUAAAGCUUCACUCCUGCCAUUGCAAAUCCUGGUAAUUACAUCUAUAAUUUCAUGCCUACUAUUUACAAGUGUGUUGAACAAAAUUUGGCCGCACUGUUUUUCACCCCUGCCCACAUGUUUGUGGCAUAUUUGUUUUCACCCCUGCUCCUGCACACCAUCUGUUUGGCAAUAGGUCUCAAUAAACAAAGAGUUUGCCACGAAUCAUAAAGAAACGGGAAAAUUCUAACAUUUCCAAACUAACCAAUUUCCAACCCCACUCAAACAAAGACAAUAAUUCCCAAGUGAUGAAAUUUUUAUAGCUAAGGCAGUUGGAUUUUUCAAAAGUCCACAUCCUGGAAGGUUUAAAUCAUGUAAAUCAUAAAUUGACAGAAAUCAAACAUAACUUAAAGUAAAAAGAAAUUUUUAAGGAGAAAAAAAAAAAGACAGAAGUCAUUAUCACUUGAGUGAAGCCCAAAAAAAAAUCAUAAGAGACAAAAUCUGAUAUUCCAUCACAAUUUAUUCAUUGAAAUCUCAGAAAUCCAAUAUACUCUAUUAGAGUCUUCAACUGGGGUGAAAGAAAAAGGCAACAGCAAGAAAGAAAUCCUAGAAUGAAAGAUUCUGCUAGAAACCAAUAUCAUGAUUUGCAAGGGGAAAAACCAAGGCAGCUAAAGGCAUGGUCAAUCAUAAAGAAGGGGGAAAAUUCCAACAUUUCGAAACCAUCCAAUUUCCAAACCCACUCAAACAAAGACAAUAAUUCCGAAGUUAUGAAAUUUUUAUAGCUAAUAAGACAGCAAGAAAGAAAAAGGCAACAACAAGAAAGAAAUUGUAGAAUUAAAGAUUCUAAUAGAAACAAAGACCAUAAAGAAGUCUUUAUCACUUGAGUGAAGCCCAAAAAAAAUCAAAAGAGAUAAAAUCUGAUAAUUUUGGCUUUGGCCAUACUUCUUGAUCUCAAAAGGUGAAUUGGAAAUUCCUACAAAAUUGAUCUCAGGCUUGCUUGGAGAUUGUAAAACCUUGUAGAUUUCUGGCUUUAAUAACCCUACAAUGUUAGUGAAAUUUUUUACUUUCUUUGUUAAAGUAGCAUUAUUCAGUGUAAAAUUGUAUGAAUCGAUAUAGAAGUCAAGUGUUCUUUAUCCGCUAUUAAAAUUGUGUGUUUAAAAUUCAUGUUUGAUUUUUCCAUCAAAUUUCCAGUCAAAAUGUUUAGGUUCAUGGAUGUGGGAGAUAAGUAGAUAUUUUCUAAUAGUUGAGAUGUCUUUAUAUAAUUAACCUUAUUUUUUAUAUUGUGCUGCUAACAGUAAUCUGAGAAAAUCAGAUUAUGGAAUAGCUGUUGGUCAACAAAGGCUUUGGUUAUUUCAAAAAGGGCUAUGUGAGAAAUUCAUGGGGCUCAAUUGAAAGUCUGUGAUCAAGUUUUAAAAAGAAAGGAUUAAAUUAGCACGAUUUGCCCCCAAAGAAACCUAGGAGGUACUUUCUAAUUUCUGAAAAGAGUAAUGUGAGUAAAGGACCUUGAAUUAUUGCACCAUAUUAUAGGACAUUGAAAUUUUUAUUGCUAAUAAGACAGCAAGAAAGAAAAAGGCAACAGUAAGAAAGAGAUUGUAGAAUUACAGAUUCUAAUAGAAACUAAGACCAUGAUUUGGACGGGAAAAAAACCAGGCAGCUAAAGGCAUGGCCUUCAUAAAACCAAACAUGUUUGUUGAUUAACUAAUCGAGCUUUAUAUGAACACAAUAAUGCAAAAAAACUCUUUAAUUCGGCGGAACAUCAACAAAAGCUUUGAAAUCAUCACAACAAUAACGAAGAACAAAGCAAAAACAAAUUUUUUAUAUUAAAAAAAGGGAGGGGGGGGGAGACAGAUCACAAGUCAUUACAAAAAUAAAAUAAAAAAGAAAUUCAUUAUUGUUCGAUCUUCACACUUUUGAGGCCUGUGUAAUUGUUGAGUGCGUAUUGUGGAUUGAAUUGUACAAUCAAAUUAAGGAUUACAAAAUAAAUUUGCUCCCUGUCUUCAAUGGGGUGUAAGUUUUCUUUGGGUAAAUGGAUUAGAUUUGUUUUGAUUAUAAUAGCAAUUUCUGCAACUACAUUAAGUAUUACUACAUCUAUCAAUAAUAGUUGUACAUCCCCUUGAUAGCAAAUAAAGCUAGCAGACACAUAUACAAAUUAAGGAAAACAGCAGGUUAGGCUUAUAGGCUUAAUCCAUUGUAUUGGCUAAACAAAUGGAUUAGAUUUCUUUUGAUUCUAAUAGCAAUUUCUCUAAGUAAAUUAGGCUGAAUCCAUUCUAUUCAAUUUAUGUGAAUAGAAAAUGCACUAAGACAUGAUCAAUAGGUUCAUUGAAUUGAGUUUAGAACACAUUCAAGGUAAAGAAAUCCCAAUCAACAAAACCCACUUAUAUGUCUAUCGUGAGAUUUAAAAAUAAAAACAAAAACCAGAGCAUUAUUUGCAAGAACAUACCUUUAAGAGCCAUUGUCAUGCUUAAUUCAAUACACAUUGAAAGCCCAUCAAAAGAAAAAUAAAGUGGACAUUAAUCUUCCACUGUAUAUGAUGCCCAUUCUGCACAGGAAAACAACAUUAGCUACACAAGCAAAAAGAAACUACAUGUCUAAGCCACAAAAACUAAUCUCUAAAAGAGUUUUCCUUCCAGUAUUUUAAUUGAAAUGAAUCCCAGAAGGUCAAUUCAAAGACCACAAGUUUGGAAAUUACAAUCAAAUUUGAUUCCCCUGAGUUCAAUUCACCUUAAAACUACCAACAUAGAAAUUUGCAACUAAACUGACAAACUUUCAAUCAUAUCAUGACAAAAAAGACAAGGAUGUAUCUAUAAUGAACAUAUUUUUUUCAUCAAAUUUUUUAAUGUUAAUUUUUUUUUCAACUUUAUCAUUAAAGAAAACUCUGAACAAUAAGAUAAUUGCAAAUCAGUAGUAGCCCUUGUCAUGCUUAUAUCAUUCAGGAACAAGAAGAUUAAUUUGAUCUACCCUGCUAAUCACCCAUUCAAAUAUUUUAAAAGGUUGAGUUAAGUGUAUAUGUAUCAUUUUCAGCAACCAAAAAAAAAAAAUCUGAAAGAGUUUUCCUUCUGGUAUUUAAAUUGGAAUGAUUCCCAAAAAGACAAUUCAAGGAGCAAAAGUUGGAAUCAUAAAGAAGGCAACCAACCCAAAAACAGAACAACUAAAUUCGAUUCCCUGAUUGAUUUGCUUGUCUUUGUACAUUAGUAAAGAAACUUGAAGUCUAAUGUACAUUAAUUAAUUUAACAUGUUCAUGAUUUAAAUGUUAAAAAUACUGCCGCCAAUGGUUCUCGAAAGAUAGAAAUAUACAUGAUAGAUGAAAUGUAUGUUAUGGAGUAGAUCAAGGAGUUACUUGCCCACAUAAAUAUAUACAUACAUAGAGAGAGAGAGAGAGAGAGAGAGAGAGAGAGAGAGAGAGAGAGAGGGAGAG